rnacentral:rRNA from 1 species
AUUGAACGCUGGCGGCAGGCCUAACACAUGCAAGUCGAACGAGUGGCGGACGGGUGAGUAAUGUCUGGGAAACUGCCCGAUGGAGGGGGAUAACGACUGGAAACGGUAUCUAAUACCGCAUACCAUCGGAUGUGCCCAGAUGGGAGUAGCUUGUAGGGGAGGUAACGGCUCACCUAGGCGACGAUCCCUAGCUGGUCUGAGAGGAUGACCAGCAACACUGGAACUGAGAAACGGUCCAGACUCCUACGGGAGGCAGCAGUGGGGAAUAGUGAACAAUGGGCGAAAGCCUGAUUGAGCCAUGCCGCGGGUAUGAAGAAGGCCGUCGGGUUGUAAAGUACUUUCAGCAGGGAGGCGUUACCCGCAGAAGAAGCACCGGCUAACUCCGUGCCAGCAGCCGCGGUAAUUC